AGUUCUAUUGAGGAACCAGGGUGAGUGUUUCCAGGCCUCCCCAGCAUGCAGGCAGAAAUGCAAGAAACAGAGACGCUUCGAGCCAGAGGGCCGAAGCUUUGCCCACUGAAGACCCCAGGAGGAUGGCCAGGGUCUCAGAGGGAGUAGAGGAAGGGGUCAGUAAACAGUUGCUAUGGAGACACAGGGAUGUGUCGAGUGGAAGUACAAGACCCCGAACUCCAAAUUCCAGGGCAGCUUGGACCCAAGACCAAGCCCAGAAGGGUGUGAUUGAAGCUGCUUUUUCAGCCCGAGCCCCAGAAUGAAGACACAUGGAACAGAGUCACAAACAACCUGCAGCAGAUAUGUAUGAUGAACAAAAAAAAAAAAACUUAUGUUGCUAUAAGCCAUU
rnacentral:lncRNA from 1 species